rnacentral:lncRNA from 1 species
CGUUGGACAUGUCCGCCGACCACAAGGGCCCGUGCCACCGCCGAUGAAUGCGUCCGGGCAACCGCAGCAGCUCGACCAUAGCUCCCACGCGCACGGUGAUGUGCUCGCCCCGUUGGACCCCUCGUUACUGGAGUGCAUCGCCGGCUCGGCCCCGCGGGUCGCUCUAGGCCCGUUGCUGACCGUCCAUGCUCGCCUCCCUCGCUACACACCGCCGUUGGCCGUCGCUUGACGCCAUAGCUCCUUGCCUCCCGCCGCGUCCAUGUUGAGCCGCUGCAUCCAUGCUACCGCUCCUCCCCGCUCGACCCUGCCGCCCGUGCUGACGAGCCGCCGUCGCCCGCAACUCCCACUGUCGCCACCGAGCUUCAGGUCCUGCUCCAGCCACCGGGGACCAGAUCCGGCAAGCCCCGUCAUUGCCGCCCCGGUGUCAACUGUGCACAGGACGAACCCUACAACGCUAGUGCCUUGCUACGUUGACCGCUGCCUAGGCCAGUUUGUGCUGGCCUUGCACAUCACGCCAACCGUCGACCGAGCAACCGCGUCGCGCCGACCCAGAUUCAGCCAGCAGUAGCUGGCCUAGCCGCAACCUCCUCCAACCGCCGGCCCAAGCCCAAUGUAAGCUGCCCUGCAUCCCUUGCCCAGUGCACCAUAUGUUAUCAAUCUCUCACCGGAUUCGGCCCAUUGCAUUAUUUUCAGUUCCACAUAAUUUUUCUAAACCCAGGAUCUGCUAAUUACAAAAAAUCUCAUGGAGUUGCAUUGCUCAUAAUUAAUUAAGCGUGCAUCAGAUUAAAAUUGUUUCGACAUGUAAAAUGUUUAGAAUUGUGUGAUGUUUCACAAUAUCCAACUUUCAACUAUGUUUAAAAUGUUUAACUUCAUGUUUUCAUUUAAUUUGCAUAAAUGCCAUGUUAAAGUUGUUUAAUUUAUAACUAAUUAACCGUAGCUUCAUUUAAUUUUUUAUAUAUGUAUCUUGACUAGAAAAAUGUAAAGAAUAACAUGGUGAUAUUUAUUUUGUUGUUUAGUAACUCUAAUAUUGUGUAUGGGUAUUUUUCAGAAUUUUUAUUCAUUGUUACAACCUCAUUUAAACUUGCUUCGAAUUUCAUGUAGUUUCUUAAUAUCUUGUUGUAUCCAUGAUUUACACGUUUAUGACUUUUAUUUGCAUACAUUUUGCAUUCAUGUCAUAUUAUCUCGUGUUGGUCAUAUCUUUUGAACCGUAACUACGUUUUAGAUGGUCUAUAUAUGUAAAUCGACUAGAAUGACAUGUAGAUUCACAUGGUCCACUUAUUUUACUGCUUAACAAAUGUCAAACAAGUUUAGUUCAGAUCUGGACCAAUUUUGAAAUUAACAUGUGGAGUAAUUUCGAAAAUGCUAUAUGUUGUUUCCGACAUCGUUUCAAAUGCAUAGAUAGUGUAGUUUAUUUAUGCUUCACCUCUUGCCAUGUUUAACAACAUUUAAUAUUUUCUGUACCUAAGCGGGAGUGAACUAAGUAAUUCAAAUGUCGAGUUUCGUCAAUAUGCAUAUUGAACUUCACUUAAUGUGUAGUAUUCCAUUGUUUUGAUUUGCCAUGCCUUGCCUAACUAAACCGGACAUGCAUCAUAUGUGAUUGUGCAUCAUGUCUUUCAUAUGUUGUGGUGUUUAUUGUGUGUUGAUUGUUAUUUACGGAUGGUUUCUUAUCGAUAGAGUUCCGAACCCACUUCGGAGUGUGAGGAUUCGUUCAACUACAUCGGUUUGUCUACUUCACAAAUUUGUUCUUCUUCCAAGCAGGAUCUCACACAAGAUGCUCAUUUCCCUAGAUACCACUACUAUCAUUGCUAUGAUACUUGUCUGUUUGUAUCGCUAUGUCUC